GAACGCUGGCGGCGUGCUUAACACAUGCAAGUCGAACGGACAGGCCCUGCUUGCAGGGUGCUCGAGUGGCGAACGGGUGAGUAACACGUGGGUGAUCUGCCCCUUACUUUGGGAUAAGCCUGGGAAACUGGGUCUAAUACUGGAUAGGACCAUGCUGUAGGUGGUGUGGUGGAAAGAUUAGUUUCGGUAAGGGAUGAGCUCGCGGCCUAUCAGCUUGUUGGUGGGGUAAUGGCCUACCAAGGCGUCGACGGGUAGCCGGCCUGAGAGGGUGGACGGCCACAUUGGGACUGAGAUACGGCCCAGACUCCUACGGGAGGCAGCAGUGGGGAAUAUUGCACAAUGGGCGCAAGCCUGAUGCAGCGACGCCGCGUGGGGGAUGACGGCCUUCGGGUUGUAAACUCCUUUCAGCCAUGACGAAGCCCUUGUGGUGACGGUAGUGGUAGAAGAAGCACCGGCUAACUACGUG
rnacentral:rRNA from 1 species